UACAGAGGUGGCAAGCGUUGUUCGGAAUUACUGGGCGUAAAGGGCGCGUAGGCGGCCUUCUAAGUCAGACGUGAAAUCCCCCGGCUUAACCUGGGAACCGCGUCUGAUACUGGGAGGCUAGAGUGCGGGAGAGGGAUGCGGAAUUCCAGGUGUAGCGGUGAAAUGCGUAGAUAUCUGGAUGAACACCGGUGGCGAAGGCGGCAUCCUGGACCAACACUGACACUGAGGAGCGAAAGCCAGGGGAGCAAACGGG
rnacentral:rRNA from 1 species